rnacentral:rRNA from 1 species
UUGACCUCGAAUCAGGUAGGAAUACCCGCUGAACUUAAGCAUAUCAAUAAGCGGAGGAAAAGAAACCAACCGGGAUUACCUCAGUAACGGCGAGUGAAGCGGUAACAGCUCAAAUUUGAAAUCUGGCUCCUUCGGAGUCCGAGUUGUAAUUUGUAGAAGAUGCUUUGGGUUGUGGGCUCGGCCUAAGUUCCUUGGAACAGGACGUCAUAGAGGGUGAGAAUCCCGUAUGUGGCCAUGGCCCGCGCCUAUGUAAAGCUCUUUCGACGAGUCGAGUUGUUUGGGAAUGCAGCUCAAAAUGGGUGGUAAAUUUCAUCUAAAGCUAAAUAUGGGCCAGAGACCGAUAGCGCACAAGUAGAGUGAUCGAAAGAUGAAAAGCACUUUGGAAAGAGAGUUAAACAGUACGUGAAAUUGUUGAAAGGGAAGCGCUUGCAACCAGACUUGGGCGCUGCCGAUCACCCCGAGUUCUCUCGGGUGCACUCGACAGCGCACAGGCCAGCAUCGGUUCGGGUGGCUGGAUAAAGGCCGUAGGAAUGUAGCUCUCUUCGGGGAGUGUUAUAGCCCACGGUGCCAUGCAGCCCAGCCGGACCGAGGACCGCGCCUUCGGGCUAGGAUGCUGGCGUAAUGGUUGUAAGCGACCCGUCUUGAAACACGGACCAAGGAGUCUAACAUCUAUGCGAGUGUUUGGGCGUUAAACCCAUACGCGGAAUGAAAGUGAACGUAGGUGAGAACCCCUUUGGGGCGCAUCAUCGACCGAUCCUGAUGUCUU